GGCUACGAGGACGAACGCUGGCGGCGUGCCUAACACAUGCAAGUCGAACGGAGAUACUUUGAAGCUGCGAUAAAGUAUCUUAGUGGCGGACGGGUGAGUAACGCGUGGGUAAUCUGCCCAUAAGUGGGGAACAACAGUUGGAAACGACUGCUAAUACCGCAUAAUCUGCCGUGAGGCAGGAAAGGUGGCCUCUUAACAAUGCUGCCGCUUAUGGAUGAGCCCGCGUCUGAUUAGCUAGUUGGUGGGGUAAAGGCCUACCAAGGCGACGAUCAGUAGCCGGCCUGAGAGGGUGAACGGCCACACUGGGACUGAGACACGGCCCAGACUCCUACGGGAGGCAGCAGUGGGGAAUAUUGCGCAAUGGGGGAAACCCUGACGCAGCGACGCCGCGUGAGCGAAGAAGGCCUUAGGGUUGUAAAGCUCUGUUUUAGGGGACGAAUGUUCAUAGGAGUAAUAUGCCUGUGAAAUGACGGUACCCUAAGAGGAAGCCCCGGCUAACUACGUGCCAGCAGCCGC
rnacentral:rRNA from 1 species